rnacentral:lncRNA from 10 species
GUUUACCUCCUCCAAACUUUCACCCAUGGGUUUAGUUCCUACCUCCUUAGCUGCAGGGAGGAAAUCUACUCAGAUAGUCCUUCAAAACACUGACAUUGCAUCCUUUGUUGAUGUCACUUCUUUCAGGUGGACUGGAGAAGGAAGUAACCAGAGAGGGGGAAGCUAGUCAGGAAGCUGCUGAAGUUAUCCAAGAGGUAAGAAGCCUAAGAGCUUAGACAAAGACAAUAGUGAAAAGUGGAGAGAUAAAAGACACAUGUGACUCAGAAGAGCUAUAGAACGUUGUCACUAAAAAUGGAUUUGAGGAGGCUGCGGGAGGGGCAGAUCUAAGAUGACUUCCCGCACAUUAAAUCUGGAAAAAUGAUGGCACAGUGGAUGGCAACAAGGAAACUGGUGAGUGGAUCCUGUUUAGGGCAGGGUUAGUUU